GCUCUAAAAACAUGACUGACAGUUGGUGUUUGGCAGUCGAUGCGAAUGCAUCUGGAUCAAGAAUAUUGUUAACGUAUAUGUUGAAGUUGUAUAAAUCCAAUUUCGCAUUAAUUAUAGUGCCAGUUUAUAGAAAAAUGAGAAUAAUGGAUACGCAUAUUGAAUAUCAGAAAAAACAUAAUGAAAAUUACUGUUCCAAAGGAGCACUAAUGCAGUACAGGAUUCUAGUUGUUACAGAAGGAAUAACAUACAUUUAUUGAAAACAUUAUUGAUGUGUUUAAUCACCUGAAGGAAAUCUUGAAUCAACAUAAUACUGAAUUUCAAAAAUGAUUUUAACAUAAAUCGGUUAAAUUAAGAGAUGAACCUAUCCUAAGUUUUAAACAUGUUCUAUUGAAAGAGAAUGAAAUGACCUGAUUAUCAAAAGUAUCCAGUGUUCAUGACUUGUAAGAAAACCAGAAACAUGAAAAAAUAUAAUCGAGAUGUAUUAUUGAGGAAUUAUGUAGAGACAUGCCAUUAUGUUCUAUUUAGAUGCCUUCUCAGUAAUAUACAAUAAACAGAAAAACAGAGUUGAUGAAUAGAAGAUCACAGCUUUGUUGUUGUGGACUCUUUUGCUGUUGCAAAUAUAGAUCUCUUGGAAAGACACUGUUUCCGAAGGUUCUGAAGAUUUAUCACUGUACUUCAAUGAUAAUGAGACAAGUUUUGAUACAUGUAGAAGAAAUAAUUUAGACCAUCUCCGAUAUAAACACCUUUAUGAGGGUUAACAAUACUGUUAAUUUAACCAACAAGCCUGAAUUCCAGGAGAUUUAAAAAAUUUAGAAAAUCCAGAUUUUUCUGUCUGCAAUAGACUAUCCUGAGUAUUUUGAGUACAGAACCUUACAGUGGACCAUCUCAACUGGAAGUAACCUUCGGAGUACGAAUAAGGAAGAUGA